UCUUGUAUAUGAUUCCAGAUUUACAAUCGUGGUUUUCAGGGAACUUCCCUCUCCUGGUUCCCUUCCCUGCGCAGUUGCUUCUGGAUUUUAUUUUAUUUACCAAACAUUUGCAUUUAUUCAUUUUAGCAAAAAGAGUGAGAGAAGCUCCACACAACGUAGUCGGAAAAUGUGGCGACGUUCAUUGUGAUUUAUUGAGAUGGAUAAAGCCAAAAAGGAGAAGAAGGAAAAACAUGAAGUGGGAUGCAGCUGGUGAUCAAACUGUCCCUGAAGCGGAUCUUGAGUGUUUCCUCGGAGUGCAGUCGAUCAGUCUGUCCCAGGCUGAAUAACGGAGGUACAGCGCAGUUCCGAGCAGGAGCAAAUUGAGUUUGAAGAGCUGAACAUGGAAGAUCAAGCUAAGCUAGCAUCACCGACCAAAUUCAAGCACUUGGGGCGCUUAGUGAGCUGCACAUGACAAGGCUGACGGUCAAUGACAAGAAGAUAAAAACAAAGCUCUUGUCUACGGUCAAGGCCUUCAUUGAAACUCGUCAUCCAGACUUUUUGGGAGACUAUCAGCAGGAUGGCCAUGAGUUCUUGAUGGUUUGCCUGUCCCGUCUGAAAGAGGAGGGAGAGUUUCUGCAAAGCUAUUGUGCCUACAUACACCUGCCCAGUAAUAAUAUGGAGUUUCAGCUCAACCGCCUGCAACAGCUGUGGCUUCCAGAGGAGCUUCAGGGAAGAUUCCAGCUACCACUCUCUGGUGAUCAGUCCUCAAAGAAGCCUCGCUGACAGCUUGGAGCAGUAUUUUAAAAGAGUAAAGAGAUGACCGUGAUAGACAGAAAAGGCCCAAAACAACGAAAAAAUUUGUAUUGUGG